UACGUAGGGUGCGAGCGUUGUCCGGAAUUAUUGGGCGUAAAGAGCUUGUAGGCGGUUUGUCGCGUCUGCCGUGAAAAUCCGGGGCUCAACCCCGGACUUGCGGUGGGUACGGGCAGACUAGAGUGUGGUAGGGGAGACUGGAAUUCCUGGUGUAGCGGUGAAAUGCGCAGAUAUCAGGAGGAACACCGAUGGCGAAGGCAGGUCUCUGGGCCACUACUGACGCUGAGAAGCGAAAGCGUGGGGAGCGAACAGGAUUAGAUACCCUGGUAGUCCACGCCGUAAACGUUGGGAACUAGGUGUGGGUCUCAUUCCACGAGAUCUGUGCCGCAGCUAACGCAUUAAGCAAUCCGCCUGGGGAGUACGGCCGCAAGGUUGAA
rnacentral:rRNA from 1 species